rnacentral:rRNA from 1 species
CAACGUAAGCAACCUGCCCCAAAGACCGGGACAACAGUGGGAAACCGCUGCUAAUACCGGAUGUGCCCGCCUUUUCGCAUGGAUGAGGUGAGUAAAGCGAAGCAAUUCGGCUUUGGGGGGGCUUGCGGCCUAUCAGCUAGAUGGCGGGGUAGUGGCCCACCAUGGCGACGACGGGUAGCUGGUCUGAGAGGAUGGUCAGCCGGACUGGGACUGAGAUACGGCCCAG